GACGAACGCUGGCGGCGUGCUUAACACAUGCAAGUCGAACGGAAAGGUCCUGCUUUUGUGGGGUGCUCGAGUGGCGAACGGGUGAGUAACACGUGAGUAACCUGCCCUUGCCUUUGGGAUAACUUCAGGAAACUGGGGCUAAUACCGGAUAGGAGCUCCUGCUGCUUGGUGGGGGUUGGAAAGUUUCGGCGGUUGGGGAUGGACCCGCGGCCUAUCAGCCUGUUGGUGGGGUAGUGGCUUACCAAGGUUUUGACGGGUAGCCGGCCUGAGAGGGUGACCGGCCACAGUGGGACUGGGAUGGGGCCCGGACUCCUACGGGAGGCAGCAGUGGAGAAUAUUGCACGAUAGGCGGAAGCCUGAUGCAGCAACGCCGCGUGCGGGAUGACUGCCUUCGGGUUGUAAACCGCGUGCGCCUGUGACGAAGCGUGAGUGACGGUAAUGGGUAAGGAAGCGCCGGCUAACUACGUG
rnacentral:rRNA from 1 species